rnacentral:rRNA from 1 species
UACGUAGGGGGCGAGCGUUGUCCGGAAUUAUUGGGCGUAAAGAGCUCGUAGGCGGUCUGUCGCGUCGGCUGUGAAAUCCCGAGGCUCAACCUCGGGUCUGCAGUCGAUACGGGCAAACUAGAGUAUUGCAGGGGAGACUGGAAUUCCUGGUGUAGCGGUGAAAUGCGCAGAUAUCAGGAGGAACACCGGUGGCGAAGGCGGGUCUCUGGGCAAUAACUGACGCUGAGGAGCGAAAGCGUGGGGAGCGAACAGG